rnacentral:rRNA from 1 species
CAUGCAGGCGGUCGCGCGCGUUUUGUGUGACAGCGGAGGGCUUAACUCUCCGAGGAUGCGAAAGACGGCGGGACUUGAGGGAUUCGAGAGGGACACGGAAUUCCGGGUGGAGUGGUGAAAUGCGUAGAGAUCCGGAGGAACACCGAAGGCGAAGGCAGUGUCCUGGCGAAGACCUGACGCUCAUGUGCGAAAGCCAGGGGAGCGAACGGGAUUAGAUACCCCGGUAGUCCUGGCCGUAAACGAUGACCACCAGGUGUGGGAGGUAUCGACCCCUUCCGUGCCGCCGGUAACCCAUUGAGUGGUCCGCCUGGGGGGUACGGUCGCAAGAUUAAA